AUCAAGUUAUUGCUAAUAAAUAAUUAUUAAUAAACAUAAAUAAAUUUUAAAAACAAACUGAUGAUUAAUGUAACUCACUAGGUACUGUUAUAUGCUACCUGCUACGCGAUCAGUAGCCGAGAGAUCUUGCUUGUGCGUUCAUUGAAAUCACUUGAUCCUGCUAUUUCAAUAUUGUGCUGUAAUACUCACAAUUUUUUUUUUUUAUAGAAAUUAUCAAGAAAACCAAUUUAAGUCAUUUUUUAAUAAAUUUCUAACAAAAUUCAACUAGUACUAGAGUUCUACGAUAUUAAAAUGAAGAAAAAAGUAAUUAUUGAUGCAGGUUAGAAACAACGCGCGCUUUGUUUGCGCAGAUCUACUGAGCUGCGCUGAGUGUCAAAAAUUGCCAUGUUGGACUGAGUCAUGCAGCAACCCAGUACAUCAGACAGCACGAGUAUCUACAGAAUUGGCGACUAAGCUGUAUAUAUAUACAGUAACAGCAACUUGCGAAAUUGACAUGCCGAUGACAACGAGCAUGCAUCGGCGCGAGUCACGCUUGUUGCUCAUGUCUCGUUAUUCUAUUCUUCCUCCUCUACCUAUCACAUUCGUCAUCGUCAUCGUCAUUUAAAUUCUCGAAUAAGUCAAUUAAAUUCGCCAAACAAUGUGCUUACAUACAUUUAUACAUUUAUACACACAUCCAUGCAUUUAUUAUUUAUUUGUUUAGCCAUUGUCAUUAGUAUUUGCAAAUUAAAUAACAAUAACUAUAAUAACAAUGAUAGCAAAUAGUAACCACACACAAUAACACUAAAAUGUUAAAUCAUCUACAUAACCCAAAUGAGCAAUGUUAAAAAAAUUAUAUAAGAUACCUAUUAACGUUUAUUUAUAAUUUAUAAUAUAAUGUAAUAUAAUAUAAUACUGUUAAAAAGCGUAGGUUUUAACAACGGCGAUUACUACACUAGGUCGCUGCGUUGCUUCAAAGGAUAUCUUAAAGCACUUUUAGCGAUGGAGCAAUAACUCUCCUUGGAAUAAAUAUAUCAUCUGAAGUUUACACGAAAAAUAAUAUAAUGGUUAAGCUAAAUUACUACUGAGUAAACUGGCUAGCUUUUUAAAUCUAGUGAUCCUUUCUCUUCAGCGAGAAUUAAUCAUUCAAUAUUCAAAAUUAUUUAGUCAUAAGUCAUAAGUUACACUUUCGAUACUAAACUUUGAAGGAUUUGUUGUUUUUUAUUAUUGAAUUUAUUUUACUACUGGAAUGAAUAGAAACUACUGAUUAUUUGAAAGUGUACAGUGAGAAAAAAAAUUUCUUUUUGAA